rnacentral:ncRNA from 1 species
UAAAUGGAGAGUUUGAUCCUGGCUCAGGACGAACGCUGGCGGCGUGCCUAAUACAUGCAAGUCGAGCGGACUUGAUGGAGUGCUUGCACUCCUGAUAGUUAGCGGCGGACG